GCCUAUACAUGCAAGUCGAACGAACUCUGGGUAUUGAUUGGUGCUUGCAUCAUGAUUUACAUUUGAGUGAGUGGCGAACUGGUGAGUAACACGUGGGAAACCUGCCCAGAAGCGGGGGAUAACACCUGGAAACAGAUGCUAAUACCGCAUAACAACUUGGACCGCAUGGUCCGAGUUUGAAAGAUGGCUUCGGCUAUCACUUUUGGAUGGUCCCGCGGCGUAUUAGCUAGAUGGUGGGGUAACGGCUCACCAUGGCAAUGAUACGUAGCCGACCUGAGAGGGUAAUCGGCCACAUUGGGACUGAGACACGGCCCAAACUCCUACGGGAGGCAGCAGUAGGGAAUCUUCCACAAUGGACGAAAGUCUGAUGGAGCAACGCCGCGUGAGUGAAGAAGGGUUUCGGCUCGUAAAACUCUGUUGUUAAAGAAGAACAUAUCUGAGAGUAACUGUUCAGGUAUUGACGGUAUUUAACCAGAAAGCCACGGCUAACUACGUGCCAGCAGCCGCGGUAAUACGUAGGUGGCAAGCGUUGUCCGGAUUUAUUGGGCGUAAAGCGAGCGCAGGCGGUUUUUUAAGUCUGAUGUGAAAGCCUUCGGCUCAACCGAAGAAGUGCAUCGGAAACUGGGAAACUUGAGUGCAGAAGAGGACAGUGGAACUCCAUGUGUAGCGGUGAAAUGCGUAGAUAUAUGGAAGAACACCAGUGGCGAAGGCGGCUGUCUGGUCUGUAACUGACGCUGAGGCUCGAAAGUAUGGGUAGCAAACAGGAUUAGAUACCCUGGUAGUCCAUACCGUAAACGAUGAAUGCUAAGUGUUGGAGGGUUUCCGCCCUUCAGUGCUGCAGCUAACGCAUUAAGCAUUCCGCCUGGGGAGUACGGCCGCAAGGCUGAAACUCAAAGGAAUUGACGGGGGCCCGCACAAGCGGUGGAGCAUGUGGUUUAAUUCGAAGCUACGCGAAGAACCUUACCAGGUCUUGACAUACUAUGCAAAUCUAAGGAAUAAGACGUUCCCUUCGGGGAA
rnacentral:rRNA from 1 species